rnacentral:rRNA from 1 species
ACCGAACGCCUUUUGCAUGUCAAACCCGACUAUGCACCACUUCGUGUUUUUGGGUGCACGUGUUGGCCCAAUCUUCGUCCUUAUAACAAUAGGAAACUUAUGUUUCGCUCAAAACAAUGCGUUGUCCUUGGCUAUAGUGCACAACACAAAGGAGUCAAGUGUCUAGAUGUCUCCACUGGGAGAGUUUAUAUCUCUCGCGAUGUGGUUUUUGAUGAAACACAAUUUCCCUUCUCCACCCUUCACCCCAAUGCCGGCGCCCUUCUUCGAAAAGAAAUCCUUCUCUUGCCUUCGCAUCUUUCCGGCCUUGCUAGUGGGGAAGAAAAUAAUUGCAAUGAUCAAUAUUUGUCUAACUCUCUUAAUGGUGUACAUGAGUCUAUUGUUUCAGCC